rnacentral:misc_RNA from 1 species
GCAAACUUGGUCAUUUAGAGGAAGUAAAAGUCGUAACAAGGUAACCGUAGGUGAACCUGCGGUUGGAUCAUUACUAAGAUCUCAACCCGACGUCUCGUGUUUCUCUCUCUUUUUUUCCCGUUAACCUGGGAUUGAGGGGAGGGAGGCCGGACAUCGACACACCACAUGUGAACCGAAAGGAAAAAGGGGGAAGACUCUUUGGGUCUCUCUCUCUCUCUCCUUUUGAACCCCUGUUUUUAUUGUUUCAAACGUCUUACAAAACAACAAAUAUGAGAAAUGAGAGAAACAACUUUAGACAACGGAUCUCUUGGCUCUCGCAUCGAUGAAGAACGCAGC